UACGUAGGGUGCAAGCGUUGUCCGGAAUUAUUGGGCGUAAAGAGCUCGUAGGCGGUUUGUCGCGUCGAAUGUGAAAACCCGGGGCUCAACCCCGGGCCUGCAUUCGAUACGGGCAGACUAGAGUUCGGUAGGGGAGUCUGGAAUUCCUGGUGUAGCGGUGAAAUGCGCAGAUAUCAGGAGGAACACCGGUGGCGAAGGCGGGACUCUGGGCCGAUACUGACGCUGAGGCACGAAAGCCAGGGGAGCAAACGGG
rnacentral:rRNA from 1 species